rnacentral:rRNA from 1 species
ACCCGCACAAGCGGUGGAUGAUGUGGAUUAAUUCGAUGCAACGCGAAAAACCUUACCUACCCUUGACAUGUCUGGAAUCCUUGAGAGAUCAGGGAGUGCCUUCGGGAGCCAGAACACAGGUGCUGCAUGGCUGUCGUCAGCUCGUGUCGUGAGAUGUUGGGUUAAGUCCCGCAACGAGCGCAACCCUUACCAUUAAUUGCCAUCAUUCAGUUGGGCACUUUAAUGGGACUGCCGGUGACAAACCGGAGGAAGGUGGGGAUGACGUCAAGUCCUCAUGGCCCUUAUGGGUAGGGCUUCACACGUCAUACAAUGGUCGGUACAGAGGGUUGCCAAGCCGCGAGGUGGAGCUAAUCUCAUAAAGCCGACCGUAGUCCGGAUCGCAGUCUGCAACUCGACUGCGUGAAGUCGGAAUCGCUAGUAAUCGUGGAUCAGCAUGCCACGGUGAAUACGUUCCCGGGUCUU